rnacentral:rRNA from 1 species
AUACGGGGGGUGCAGGCGUUAUUCGGAUUUAUUGGGCGUAAAGGGCGCGUAGGCGGCUUGGAAAGUCAGAUGUGAAAGCCCGGGGCUCAACCCCGGAAGUGCAUUUGAAACUAUCAGGCUUGAGUAUGGGAGAGGGAAGUGGAAUUCCUGGUGUAGAGGUGAAAUUCGUAGAUAUCAGGAGGAACACCGGUGGCGAAGGCGACUUCCUGGACCAAUACUGACGCUGAGGCGCGAAGGCGUGGGGAGCAAACAGGAUUAGAUACCCCGGUAGUCC